rnacentral:rRNA from 1 species
AUUGAACGCUGGCGGCAGGCCUAACACAUGCAAGUCGAGCGGAUGAAGGGAGCUUGCUCCUGGAUUCAGCGGCGGACGGGUGAGUAAUGCCUAGGAAUCUGCCUGGUAGUGGGGGAUAACGUCCGGAAACGGGCGCUAAUACCGCAUACGUCCUGAGGGAGAAAGUGGGGGAUCUUCGGACCUCACGCUAUCAGAUGAGCCUAGGUCGGAUUAGCUAGUUGGUGGGGUAAAGGCCUACCAAGGCGACGAUCCGUAACUGGUCUGAGAGGAUGAUCAGUCACACUGGAACUGAGACACGGUCCAGACUCCUACGGGAGGCAGCAGUGGGGAAUAUUGGACAAAGGGCGAAAGCCUGAUCCAGCCAUGCCGCGUGUGUGAAGAAGGUCUUCGGAUUGUAAAGCACUUUAAGUUGGGAGGAAGGGCAGUAAGUUAAUACCUUGCCGUUUUGACGUUACCAACAGAAUAAGCACCGGCUAACUUCGUG